UACAGAGGGUGCGAGCGUUAAUCGGAAUUACUGGGCGUAAAGCGCGCGUAGGCGGCUUUUCAAGUCGAUUGUGAAAUCCCCGGGCUUAACCUGGGAACUGCAGUCGAGACUGUCUAGCUAGAGUAUGGGAGAGGGAAGUGGAAUUUCAGGUGUAGCGGUGAAAUGCGUAGAUAUCGCUUGGAACGCCGAAGGUGAAAACAGGCUGCUGGGGUUGUGCCGACGCUGAGACACGAAAGCCAGGGGAGCAAACGGG
rnacentral:rRNA from 1 species